rnacentral:rRNA from 1 species
GAUGAACGCUGGCGGCGUGCCUAAUACAUGCCAGUCGAGCGAACAGAUGAGGAGCUUGCUCCUCUGACGUUAGCGGCGGACGGGUGAGUAACACGUGGAUAACCUACCUAUAAGACUGGGAUAACUUCGGGAAACCGGAGCUAAUACCGGAUAAUAUAUUGAACCGCAUGGUUCAAUAGUGAAAGACGGUUUUGCUGUCACUUAUAGAUGGAUCCGCGCCGCAUUAGCUAGUUGGUAAGGUAGCGGCUUACCAAGGCAACGAUGCGUAGCCGACCUGAGAGGGUGAUCGGCCACACUGGAACUGAGACACGGUCCAGACUCCUACGGGAGGCAGCAGUAGGGAAUCUUCCGCAAUGGGCGAAAGCCUGACGGAGCAACGCCGCGCGAGUGAUGAAGGUCUUCGGAUCGUAAAACUCUGUUAUUAGGGAAGAACAAAUGUGUAAGUAACUAUGCACGUCUUGACGGUACCUAAUCAGAAAGCCACGGCUAACUACGUG